rnacentral:rRNA from 1 species
GGGGAAACACCCGUUCCCAUUCCGAACACGGCAGUGAAGACCGCCCGCGCCGAUGGUACUUGGGGGGUAGCCCCCUGGGAGAGUAGGUCGCCGCCGGGA